GGCAAUAUGGCCGAGUGGUCUAAGGCGCCAGAAUCAGGACUUUGGUCUUAUCUGGUCGGAAACGGCGAGGGUUCGAAUCCCUCUGUUGUCA